UGCGUAGGCGGAAUCGCCAGUGUCUUGUGAAAUCCCACGGCUCAACCGUGGAACUGCAGGGCAUACUGCGAUUCUUGAGGUCGGUAGAGGUUGCCGGAACUGUAGGUGUAGCGGUGAAAUGCGUAGAUAUCUACAGGAACGCCCAAGGAGAAGUCAGGCAACUGGGCCGAUUCUGACGCUGAGGCACGAAAGCGUGGGGAGCAAACAGGAUUAGAUACCCUGGUAGUCC
rnacentral:rRNA from 1 species